UUGUGGAGGAGGACGCCGAAGGUGGGGCUAAUGACUGGGGUGAAGUCGUAACAAGGUAGCCGUACCGGAAGGUGCGGCUGGAUCACCUCCUAACAGGGAGACAACAAAAUGUUUAAAUUAUUAUUUUGUCACCUUAGGUCGAUCGGUAUCUCACAUUCUUAUUUUAUUAAGGAUUUUAUUUCCUAAGUUUUUUCUAGGUCACACCCAUUACUUUUCCUGGGCCAUUAGCUCAGGUGGUUAGAGCGCACCCCUGAUAAGGGUGAGGUCCCUGGUUCAAGUCCAGGAUGGCCCAUAUCUCUAUGUUGGGGGUAUAGCUCAGUUGGUAGAGCGCCUGCUUUGCAAGCAGGAUGUCAGCGGUUCGAGUCCGCUUACCUCCACUGAUUACCACCUCUUCCAUAAUUUGAAGAAAGGAAAUUUUUUGAGUUGUGAUCAAAUUCUGAACGAAUCUAGCUUCCUAAUGAAUACAUUAAGAUGCUGGACUCAUUGAAUUAAUUUUCAUUGUUUUCAGAGAACCUUGACAACUGCAUAGAUUAUUUUUAAAGACAAUAAGCAUCUUUAAUGAUGCAGAUUUAUUAUUUGUGCGAAUGCAUUAAUAACAAUUCUAUUAAGCUGAUGCUUCAAUUUAAUGAAGUUAUUGGUCAAGCUACAA
rnacentral:misc_RNA from 1 species